rnacentral:rRNA from 1 species
AUGGGAAUUUAAACCCCUUUCAGAGUAACAAUUGGAGGGCAAGUCUGGUGCCAGCAGCCGCGGUAAUUCCAGCUCCAAUAGCGUAUAUUAAAGUUGUUGCAGUUAAAAAGCUCGUAGUUGGAUGUCUGCUGGAAGCAAUCAGUCCGCCCUAUUUGUAGGGUGUGCACUUGAUGAAUUCUGGCAUUUUUGUCCCAAUGAUGUAACGGGGCGGUGGUAUUCGGUGAAAGCCGAGUAUCCUGUUUUCCGAUUAUUGGGAUACUGUUACUUUGAGAAAAUUAGAGUGUUUGAAGCAGGCUAAUUGCCUUGAAUACUGCAGCAUGGAAUAACAAUAUAGGAUUUCGGUUCUAUUUUGUUGGUUUCUAGGACUGAAAUAAUGAUUAAUAGGGACAGUUGGGGGCAUUCGUAUUUAACUGUCAGAGGUGAAAUUCUUAGAUUUGUUAAAGACGAACUACUG